rnacentral:rRNA from 1 species
UACAGAGGUCCCGAGCGUUGUUCGGAUUUAUUGGGCGUAAAGGGUGCGUAGGCGGCGGAGUAAGUUGGGUGUGAAAUCCCGGGGCUCAACCUCGGAAUUGCAUUCAAUACUGCUUCGCUAGAGUACUGGAGAGGAGGCUGGAAUUUACGGUGUAGCAGUGAAAUGCGUAGAUAUCGUAAGGAAGACCAGUGGCGAAGGCGAAUCUCUGGACAGUUACUGACACUGAGGCACGAAGGCCAGGGGAGCAAACGGG